AAGUUAAUUGUUCCUAUAUAUAUAUAUAUUAGAAUAUAAAAUAUGUCUUUAAUAUAAAUAUGAAAAAAUCGAUGCGAAAAUUAUUUUGGAGCAGGAAUUUCAGAUGUUGAAAACUGUACACUGAAUGUUGAUAAAACAAAACAAAGAUUUCGUUACCAUGUCAGUUCAAAAACGAUCAUGCCCGCUUGGUUAGUAACUAUAUCAACUGUACGAUGAUACACAGUGAUAAUUGGCAAAAAAAAAAUACAUGUACAUGUAUACAUGGUAUAUGUCUGUUUACAGUUACUCGACUGACCCUAAUUUGAGCGCUGACUCAAAGCUAUUUUAUUCCUGUCAUUAAGUGAAAAAUUUAUAAAACUCGUGUCAAAAGCGAAGUAAGGGUUGCCAAUAAAUUUAAUCAAUUGCCUGAUACAUCCCAAUGUUCACAAUCGUGAAUAUGACAGCUGUUCUAAGGAAACUUGCAACUCGUGUCAUAAAAUAAAAACUUCACCCCCAUUUUUCCAACCAAUAACCAAGGGAAAUAAUCCAAUCAUUAAAAAUAUGGGUAAACUCGGCCCAUGGACAACUGAGACCAUGGCACAACUCAAAAUCAUGCACAAAAAAAGGAAAAGAAAAAAAAUAGUAAAAGUGAAAUACUGACCUACCUACCCUAUAUAUAUUGAUGAUAUACAUGUAAGAUUGUAACCUUAAACAGACAGACUGACAUGGCCAUAUAUACAAGUGUGGUCAUUUUAGCUCUUCUUUAUACAUGUCUUAAAUCAAUUUUCAUGAUUAACUAGAAAUACUGAAAUCACUGCCCGUAAUAGCCAGCCCCUCCA
rnacentral:lncRNA from 1 species